AUGGAACAGGGCUCCACAAGGACAUGAAUACCAGGUGGCAGGGAUCACUGGGCCAUCUCUCUAAAUCACGAAUGAAACAUUUGCAACCUGUGUCUCCCAAACAUGAUAUGUCUCAAUCAUCAAAGGAUCUACAGUGACUACAAUAACCAAGUGCUACAAAAACGCUGUGACGAGGAAUCUGAACAACAGAGAUUUGAGGGAAACAAAACACUUUCGACGAAGGUCCUGCUGCUUGUCUUCAGCUUGGUACCAAUUAGAGCUUCACUGGAGGUGAAAAGAAAAUACUUCAUGUCUUGCUGUCUGAAGCUCCAGAGGGGAUUCAAAGAUGAGUGAAGCAUAGCAUCUUUCCUGCAUAAACAUUUAAAAAAGGAGAAAGUGAGAGAGAGGAGUCUUCCAUCCACUUCUAAAUAGAACAAAAUGAUAUCUCAGUGCCCUUAACUUUGAAACUGAAACAGAGCUUCUAGAUCAUCUCAAGAUUUUGCAGCUUUGGAGAAAGCAAGCUGUAGGACUCAUGGCAUAGUGAGCAGCAUUUUUGCCAUGAGCGUCUGCAUUAGGAAAAUCUGGAGACUGCCGUCUCAAAGGGCUCCUUGGGCCAUGGAUCACUGCUCAGGGGAUGGGAGGAGGCAAGUCUAGGAGGGCCUGCCUGUGAGCUCAGAAUUAUGAUGAAUCAAUGUGAUAAAGUGACCUCAUGGCUGAAUUAGGUUAUCACCCUUCUCGGAAUAGGUGACAUAAAUCAAGAUCUGAAAGAAGAGAUGGAACCAGCCACACAAAGACCUUGAAUCAAGUCAUUCCAGGCAGAGGGAGCAGCUAGUGCAAGGCACUAAAACAGGAAUAAACUGGCUGUGUCCAAGAAACAGCAAGAAGGUGGAGCACAGUGGGUGAGAGAGAAGCAUGAACAAGAUGAGACAGACUGGUAGGCAGGCAGCAGGGUUGUAUAGGGCUUACCAACCAGAUUAAGAAAUUGGGAUUUUAUUCAGGUGCAAUGGGAAUGCCUUAGAGUGUUUUAAAUAGAAU
rnacentral:lncRNA from 1 species